rnacentral:rRNA from 1 species
AGAGUUUGAUCCUGGCUCAGGACGAACGCUGGCGGCGUGCUUAACACAUGCAAGUCGAACGGGGUGUUUAUUUCGGUAAACACCAAGUGGCGAACGGGUGAGUAACGCGUAAGCAAUCUACCUUCAAGAUGGGGACAACACUUCGAAAGGGGUGCUAAUACCGAAUGAAUGUAAGAGUAUCGCAUGAGACACUUACUAAAGGAGGCCUCUGAAAAUGCUUCCGCUUGAAGAUGAGCUUGCGUCUGAUUAGCUAGUUGGUGAGGGUAAAGGCCCACCAAGGCGACGAUCAGUAGCCGGUCUGAGAGGAUGAACGGCCACAUUGGGACUGAGACACGGCCCAGACUCCUACGGGAGGCAGCAGUGGGGAAUCUUCCGCAAUGGACGAAAGUCUGACGGAGCAACGCCGCGUGAGUGAUGAAGGUCUUCGGAUUGUAAAACUCUGUUGUUAGGGACGAAAGCACCGUGUUCGAACAGGUCAUGGUGUUGACGGUACCUAACGAGGAAGCCACGGCUAACUACGUGCCAGCAGCCGCGGUAAUACGUAGGCGGCAAGCGUUGUCCGGAAUUAUUGGGCGUAAAGGGAGCGCAGGCGGGAAACUAAGCGGAUCUUAAAAGUGCGGGGCUCAACCCCGUGAUGGGGUCCGAACUGGUUUUCUUGAGUGCAGGAGAGGAAAGCGGAAUUCCCAGUGUAGCGGUGAAAUGCGUAGAUAUUGGGAAGAACACCAGUGGCGAAGGCGGCUUUCUGGACUGUAACUGACGCUGAGGCUCGAAAGCUAGGGUAGCGAACGGGAUUAGAUACCCCGGUAGUCCUAGCCGUAAACGAUGGAUACUAGGUG